rnacentral:tRNA from 1 species
GGAGGAAUGGCAGAGCUGGUCUAUCGCGGCGGUCUUGAAAACCGUUGUCCCGUAAGGGACCGUGGGUUCGAAUCCUACUUCCUCCGCCA